ensembl:lncRNA
GAACAAUAACUCUCAAAGGGUUAACGGAGGGCUGUGUAGGAUUGGAGCCAUCUGCAUCGCUUCCUCCCCGCGUGCUCAAAGCCGCCUGGAGCAGAUGCUGCUUGGGGCCGGGUGGCAUUGCUGUCAUUAGUGAAAUACAAACCAUCCAUAGCACUACAGUGCCGUUUCCGAGCACUUGUCGCUCCUGCGCGAGGGGAAAGUUGGCAGCUGGCUGCACUAUUGUCCACCACCUUACGAAACUCACGGCUUUGGGCUGCGUUUCCGACCCAG